UUCGGACGUGUUUUUCGAAGCUCUCGACGUCGUACUCAGUAUAAAUUGAACUGGGCUGGCAAAGAACGCUCAGUUGCGACUUUGAAAUUGACCGUUACGGACGUGUUUUUUAUGCGCUCUUUUUUUUACAUUGACUUAAUCUUAGUUCAAUGAAAGACUUUGACAAAGACGGACGUACUUUCGUGAGCUCUGACUAUUGAUGAAAAGUUUUGAGUUUAACUGACUUGUACUUUGAGAGUUAAAUUGACUUCGCGUUAUAGAAUAGCGACUUGGUACUCGGGUUAUGGAAUUACUGGUGGACUGCAGUGUUAGGGUAUUGUCAUGAGAUGACGGCUUGACUUUUACUUGCGUUGUGAAAUGAAAUCAUACUCUUAUGCGAUGUUAACUUUUGAACGUUUAGUAUUGACUGACAACGAACUUUUGUGAGCGUUAUAUAUGAAAUGUUUGACUUACAUUAAUUUUUUUGAACGACUUGACUUCACUUUAAGUUUUGACAUCGGACUGAUCGGACGUGUUUUUUUAAGCCCUGACUGUUGUGAAUAAUUAAAUUUAUGUUGUGGUGUCAAGCGAUUGACUGUCAGUUGAGGUUCAGAUGUCGAGCUGUGCGGACGUGUUCAUCGAGCUGCUGUCUACAAAAAACGGGGCUGUGGUGAGUAUUGUAGUAUAAAUUUGUUUCAAUAAAUCAUGAUGAAUGAAAACUGAUUUCGAUUCGUUUUGUACAGGUUUACUUGUAUAGAAGUGUAAUGCGUUGGGUAGAAAUUACUCAGUACUGAUAUAGUGUCGAUAUGUUGUGAUUAGCGAUGAUGGUGUAUGAUGGUGGAACAGAAUAUGAGCUUCUUUGGGGAAACGAACAUAUGAUUGAAAAAAAUUUGCAAACAUAGUAGAUAAAUGAUAUGAUAUUGCUUAAAUUGUAUUUGCAUGCUGUAACAUUUCUAUUUCAUUUCAGGGUGCUGUGGUGAGUACUGUAGAUUGUAGUGCAUAUGUAUAGAAUUCAAUAAAAGAUUAUGACUGAAAACUGCUUUUGAUUCUUAUUGUACAGUUUUAGGGAUUAUAAGUCUAUAGCAACUCUGUCGGUUGGUGUUCAUGAGUGUGAGCUUAAUACAGCAAUGUUUGAGUAGUACAAAAAUGUUUUCGCUUUUGUGGUCGCCAGCUGUCCGUGAUCUGUAAAGUGAAAAUACACAGAGCUAUGAAGCAUACAAAUGUUUCGAAAUUUUAUCAAUGAUUGUAUACUAUGCAUGUUUUGAUUUAGUUCGUUUCAGAUUUGACAUGAAAUGUAGACCUGACAUUUGAACAGAGCUGGGAAACGAAAAGAUUUUCAGAUGUGUGCUGGCAGUUCAAGUCUGGCAGCUGAAGUGAACAGUCGUGUUUUCUGGAGCUCCAACAAUAUGCUAGAAGGUAAGUAACUAUGUUUGUUUUGCAUUGCAUGUUUUUAUAUGUUUCAGACUUUCAAGCAGAGAUGUCAUGCUGACUGGAGUUGAGCACAGGGCAGUGACAAAGUAAAAGGUAAGUACUUUUGACUGAAUGUUUGUUCUAUGCAUGUUUUGUUUUAAUACAUUUCAGGAGUGCUUAUCCAGUGAUGAUAUGACAGUUGGAGUGAACAGUGGAGCCAAGCAGUCUUGUUUUUAGAGCUACUCAACAAGCCUUGAAGGUAAGUUUAGAAUUUCUCAAUGUUAGUGAAUUGAAGUACUGUCACUUGCUUUUGGACAGUCGAACAGAACAGACGUGGUUGCGAGAGCUCUCAUAUCUGUUGUGUUAAACUGUUUUUAUGAUAUGUUAUGUUUGUUUGUUUGUUUGUGAUGUACUAUUUUUCAGAUGCUGAUGGCAGUGAUGGGUUUUCAAGCUGACCUGAACAGAAAAGCACUCAUAUGGUAAGUACAAAAUAGUUGUUAUAUGGGAUGUUUUGUGCAUGCUUUUAUGUUUCAGGUGUACUUGCUGACAGCGACGAAGACGAAUCAAGAAGAGGAACAUUGUUGAGAAAGUGAUUGGGACUUGCAAACAGGGUAAGUGUAACACUUGUGUUUGUUUAAUUUGUAACAUGCGUGCUUUGCUCUGUUUCAGAUUUCACAUGCAGAAAUUAAACAGGAUUUCAACUGCUGAGACACAAUUCAUCAAAAGUAAGGUAAGUUUUAAUUCAUUGAUUUGAGUUGUACAAUGUGUUCUUUACUUUAUUUCAGAUUCGAGUCACUGGUUUACACAUGGAAGAAGAUUUCCACGUCUGUUACUCAACUCUACAGAAGCAAGAUGUUUUGUUUCAGUUGAUGUCCAGAUGGCAAGCAGAACAGACGUGUUUCUUGGAUCUGCCAAACAGUGAGUACAAACGUUUUAUAUUUUUCAGUUGUGUACUCAUAGAAGUCUGUGAAAGAUGAUAGCAAGGGUAGAAUCUAUCAGCACUUGUGUCUAAAAAUGCUGAUGUGUGAUGGUUUACUGAAAGGGGUAAAUGCUAGCCAGUACUUACACUUGAGCAACCGUGGGAUGUCGAACUAACUGAUGAUGUACUAUGAUGGUGAACACUUACUUUGUGUAUCGAAAUGCUUUUGUUGAUAUUUACUAAAUAUUGAUUGACAUUUGUUUGCAUGCUGUUAACAUUUCUAUUUCAUUUCAGUUGGCUGUGGUGAGUAUUGUAGUAUUAAUUUGUCUCAAUAAACGAUGAUGAAUGAAAACUGAUGUCGAUUCUUUUUGUACAGUUUUAGGUAUUAGCACUCUAUACAAAACUCUGUCGGUCGGUGUUUGUGAAUGUGAGCUUAAUGUUUGAGUAGAACAAAAAUGUCUUUACUUUUGUGAUCGCCAGUUGUCUGUGAUGUAAAGUGGAAAAAAACACAGCUAUGAAGCAUACAAUUGUUUCAAUAUUUUAUCAAUGAUAGUGUGCUAUGCAUGUUUUGAUUUAGUUCGUUUCAGAUAUGACAUGACAUGAAGAGUUGACAGUCGAACAGAGCUGAGCAAUGCAGAAAGGUAAGUGUGUUUCAUUUUAGUAUGAACACUUGUAUUUUGUUUUUAUAUGGUAUGUUUUGUGCAUGCUAUGUUUCAGGUGUACUUGUAGUCAGCGACGAAGACGAUUCAAGAAGAGGAACAUUGCUGAGAAAGUGAAUGGGACUUGCAAACAGGGUAAGUGUAACAAUUGUGUUUGUUUAAUUUGUAACAUGCGUGCUUUGCUCUGUUUCAGAUUUCACAUGCAGAAAUGGUCUCAUAGCAGUGCCAACAGUGAAUAAGGAUUUCAGCUGCUGUGAAACAACUCAACAGAAAGUAGGUAAGCAUUGAAUGAAUGCACUUGAGUUGUACAAUUUGAUGUGAUGCUUUUCUCUGUUUCAGAUUCAAGUUCCUGGUGUAGACAGAGAAAUGUGUUUGAAGAAGGAAUUCUACUACUGUGAUUCAACUCUACAGAAGCAAGGUAAGUAGAAACACAAUUUUGGUUUAAUUUAACUCAUGUGUUUUGCACUGCAUGCUAUUUUUCAGGUCUCUCAUGCAGUGAUGCAAAAGAAGAAGAUUUCAAGAAAGAAUCACUGCUGCAACUCAGGCCUAUAACAAGGUAAGUGUUUACUAUAUUGUAUACAAAAUGUUUCUCUGUUUUACUCUGUUUGAAGGUUUCAAUUGCAGAGAUGUUGCAGAGAUGUUUUGACAGCUUGUGACAGAAAAGAAAUUCAGCAGCUGUGUCUCGACUCUAGCCACGAGGUAAGUCAAAACAAAUAUACUGGUUUGUAUGUUAUGUUGUUAUGCCCUUCUAUGUUUCAGACUUACAUUGCUGUGACUGUUCCACAGUGGGUCAAAAAAGAGACGAAUACAGGUUUCAAGAAGAAAAUUGGCUGUUGAAAACCUGCACAAAAUAUGAGGUAAGUAAACUAUUCUUUUGGUUUGUUUUGUGCUUUGUUAUGCUUAACUAUUUUUCAGAUUGGAAUGGUGGGUCGUUACAGAGCAGACUUUUGGACAACUGAGAAGUUGAGAAACAGAGAAUGAUUCAAGAUCAGCUAGGUAAGUCUUGAUUAUUGUGCAUUGCUAAAUGUUUUUUUUCAUUCCAGUAUGGCUGUGGUAAGUACACAAACUUUCUAUAAUUUAAUAUUGAACUGUUUUUAUGACCUGUAUUCUGCAUUGUAAAAUGUCUGUUUUUCAUUUCAGUAUCCUGUGGUAAGUACAAUUGCCUUCUUUAAUUUUCAUAUUGAACUGUUUUGAUGACUUGUAUACUACUAUGCAAUGCUUAAUGUUUUUUUCAUUUCAGUAGCCUGUUGGUAAGUACACUAACUUUCUAUAAUUUCAUAGUGAAUUGUUUUGAUGACCUG